rnacentral:rRNA from 3 species
CAGAUGACUGGGGUGAAGUCGUAACAAGGUAGCCGUAGGAGAACCUGCGGCUGGAUCACCUCCUUUCUAAGGAAUAA